rnacentral:rRNA from 1 species
GUAGGUGGCAAGCGUUGUCCGGAAUUAUUGGGCGUAAAGCGCGCGCAGGCGGUUCUUUAAGUCUGAUGUGAAAGCCCACGGCUCAACCGUGGAGGGUCAUUGGAAACUGGAGAACUUGAGUACAGAAGAGGAAAGCGGAAUUCCACGUGUAGCGGUGAAAUGCGUAGAGGUGGAGGAACACCAGUGGCGAAGGCGGCUUUCUGGUCUGUAACUGACGCUGAGGCGCGAAAGCGUGGGGAGCAAACAGGAUUAGAUACCCUGGUAGUCCACGCCGUAAACGAUGAGUGCUAAGUGUUAGGGGGUUUCCCGCCCCCCUUAGUGCUGCAGCUAACGCAUUAAGCACUCCGCCCGGGGGAGUACGGCCGCAAGGCUG